rnacentral:rRNA from 1 species
GAUGAACGCUGGCGGCGUGCCUAAUACAUGCAAGUCGAGCGAACAGACGAGGAGCUUGCUCCUAUGACGUUAGCGGCGGACGGGUGAGUAACACGUGGAUAACCUACCUAUAAGACUGGGAUAACUUCGGGAAACCGGAGCUAAUACCGGAUAAUAUAUUGAACCGCAUGGUUCAAUAGUGAAAGACGGUUUUGCUGUCACUUAUAGAUGGAUCCGCGCCGCAUUAGCUAGUUGGUAAGGUAACGGCUUACCAAGGCAACGAUGCGUAGCCGACCUGAGAGGGUGAUCGGCCACACCGGAACUGAGACACGGUCCAGACUCCUACGGGAGGCAGCAGUAGGGAAUCUUCCGCAAUGGGCGAAAGCUUGACGGAGCAACGCCGCGUGAGUGAUGAAGGUCUUCGGAUCGUAAAACUCUGUUAUUAGGGAGGAACAAAUGUGUAAGUAACUAUGCACGUCUUGACGGUACCUAAUCAGAAAGCCACGGCUAACUACGUG